GCGCCUCUCACUCCAUCUAUGCCUACGACCUUAAUUUCUCUGGAUUUGAAGGGGUUUUGGAGGCCGGAUUUUGCUAAAAUUUAGAUGUGGAGAGAGCUGGAGAGUUUCAGGUUUCGUUGAUUUACGUUUAAUUUGCAGUGCCAAUUGAUUCGCUAUGGAUUCCGUAUCAAGUCGCGAGGAUUCUUGGGAAGAUCUUUGCAGUCUCGGCAUUUUUUAUAAUGCUCCAUGUAAUGAACACAAAGCCAAGCUUAUGCUGAAGCCAUUACAUCCGAACGAGCAUUGGAAAUUAUCUUCGAGCCAAUUCGACAAGGCACACAUCUUCAGAUGCACGCCACUAGUUGGAAAUGGAGGCUAGCUAACAACAUGUCUGGUUGAAUUCGACAGGGUUGUAGGCACCGGUGAAUUGUUGUUUAACUUGAACUCAUGAAGGCUGGACGGAUACACAGUGAUGAAUCGACCCACCGCUAUUAGGUAUUGUCUGCUUUGGCUUGUUUUGUAUCGUCGUUAGUUUCACGGUUCCAAAACGAGUUUGUUAGGGAGCGAUUUCCACGCCCUUAUAAAGAAUGUUUCAUUUCCUUCUUCAAACCGAUGUAAGAUCUACCAGUUACGAUG